rnacentral:rRNA from 1 species
GUUCAGGACGAACGCUGGCGGCGUGCCUAAUACAUGCAAGUCGAGCGGAGCACUUCGGUGCUUAGCGGCGGACGGGUGAGUAACACGUAGGUAACCUGCCUGUAAGACCGGGAUAACUAUCGGAAACGAUAGCUAAGACCGGAUAGCUGGUUUUCUCGCAUGAGAGAAUCAUGAAACACGGAGCAAUCUGUGGCUUAYAGAUGGGCCUGCGGCGCAUUAGCUAGUUGGUGAGGUAACGGCUCACCAAGGCGACGAUGCGUAGCCGACCUGAGAGGGUGAACGGCCACACUGGGACUGAGACACGGCCCAGACUCCUACGGGAGGCAGCAGUAGGGAAUCUUCCGCAAUGGACGCAAGUCUGACGGAGCAACGCCGCGUGAGUGAUGAAGGUUUUCGGAUCGUAAAGCUCUGUUGCCCUAGACGAACAGCAGGGAGAGUAACUGCUCUCUGUGUGACGGUAUAGGAGAAGAAAGCCCCGGCUAACUACGUGCCAGCAGCC